AACGAACGCUGGCGGCAUGCCUAACACAUGCAAGUCGAACGAGACCUUCGGGUCUAGUGGCGCACGGGUGCGUAACGCGUGGGAAUCUGCCCUUGGGUUCGGAAUAACAGUGAGAAAUUACUGCUAAUACCGGAUGAUGUCUUCGGACCAAAGAUUUAUCGCCCAGGGAUGAGCCCGCGUAGGAUUAGCUAGUUGGUGGGGUAAUAGCCUACCAAGGCGACGAUCCUUAGCUGGUCUGAGAGGAUGAUCAGCCACACUGGGACUGAGACACGGCCCAGACUCCUACGGGAGGCAGCAGUGGGGAAUAUUGGACAAUGGGCGCAAGCCUGAUCCAGCAAUGCCGCGUGAGUGAUGAAGGCCUUAGGGUUGUAAAGCUCUUUUACCCGGGAUGAUAAUGACAGUACCGGGAGAAUAAGCUCCGGCUAACUCCGUG
rnacentral:rRNA from 1 species